rnacentral:rRNA from 1 species
AUUGAACGCUGGCGGCAGGCCUAACACAUGCAAGUCGAGCGAGCGGCGGACGGGUGAGUAAUGUCUGGGAAACUGCCUGAUGGAGGGGGAUAACUACUGGAAACGGUAGCUAAUACCGCAUACCAUCAGAUGUGCCCAGAUGGGAUUAGCUAGUAGGUGGGGUAACGGCUCACCUAGGCGACGAUCCCUAGCUGGUCUGAGAGGAUGACCAGCCGCGCUGGAACUGAGACACGGUCCAGACUCCUACGGAAGGCAGCGGUGGGGAAUAUUGCACAAUGGGCGCAAGCCUGAUGUGGCCAUGCCGCGUGUAUGAAGAAGGUCUUCGGAUUGUAAAGCACUUUAAGUUGGAAGGCGUUACCAACAGAAUAAGCACCGGCUAACUUCGUGCCAGCAGCCGCGGUAAUAC